GCGGGCGUAGCUUAAUGGCGAAGCAUCACUUUUCCAAAGUGAAUAUUGCAGGUUCGAGUCCUGUCGCCCGCUCCA
rnacentral:tRNA from 1 species